GCUUUCUUUGUUUUAACGUCGGUGUACACUAUAGGUUCGGAGACAGCUGUUUCGUGUCUAGUAUCCUAGAGCUGUGGGGGUUCAAUAAAACUAUUAUAGAUGGUUUAUCGCAGCAGGACAUUCUUGACAAGAUAAAUGAGCCUAAUCCAAUAAGGUUGACAAAUAUGCUGAAGAUUGGGAACUGGAAUUCAUCGAAAUUGCAACGGAUGACUACGAAGACAUGACUGUCUACGGUAUCGCAUUCACGAGUUUUGAUAUGGAGUCGUCGAACACUGUCACCGGUGAUACAUAUUUCCUCGCUGGUGGCUACGGCCUUUUGUUCAUUUACAUCGCAGUGAUGCUAAGCAAGUUCACUUUGAUCGAACAUAAAGUAAGUCGAAAACAACCGUAGAGAUGUGGAAGUGACUUUCACCAAUCCUACUUUGCC